rnacentral:rRNA from 1 species
GACGAACGCUGGCGGCGUGCCUAAUACAUGCAAGUCGAGCGGAUUGAUGGGAGCUUGCUCCCUGAUAUCAGCGGCGGACGGGUGAGUAACACGUGGGCAACCUGCCUAUAAGACUGGGAUAACUUCGGGAAACCGGAGCUAAUACCGGAUAAUCCCUUUCCUCUCAUGAGGAAAGGCUGAAAGAUGGUUUACGCUAUCACUUAUAGAUGGGCCCGCGGCGCAUUAGCUAGUUGGUGAGGUAACGGCUCACCAAGGCAACGAUGCGUAGCCGACCUGAGAGGGUGAUCGGCCACACUGGGACUGAGACACGGCCCAGACUCCUACGGGAGCAGCAGUAGGGAAUCUUCCGCAAUGGACGAAAGUCUGACGGAGCAACGCCGCGUGAGUGAUGAAGGUUUUCGGAU